rnacentral:misc_RNA from 1 species
UCACGUGUACUAGUGGGAGGAGGUGGAGUAAAGUGGAUGGUGCCGUGACGCUGGGAGGUGGGGGUGCCAACUGCCACGAGACAUUGCUGGGCCAGGCACUUGAGACGUGGCUUGGAUGCCCACUCACCCUCCACCACACCUCCCUGCCUUACCUGUGUGCUUGAUAGUGUCCCUGGAGCCACUACAGGCGAAAGAUGUCAUCAGAUUCAGAGGAAGAAAAUGGUGUCCAGCGCGAUGCUGAGGACAGUGACGGAGGCAACUACAGCCGUCACUCCCGGUCCCGCUCGCGUUCCCGCUCCUCGGGGCGGUCACCACCAAGGGAUGACGACAUGGAUGAGGAGCAGCAUGGGCAGGACCGCAAGGAGAAUGGGAUGAGGGGCGGAGGGAGUGACGAGUACAGCUCAAAGAAGUACGAUGGGCAGAGAAAUGCCAGUCGCUCUAAAUCCCCAGAGAACAAGGACGCCAUGGAGUGGUCCGCACCCCCUGCCACGGACGACAACAAGAGGGCCUCACGUAGCCGCAGCAAGAGCAAGCCCAGGGACCAGGAUGUUGCCAAGGAGCAGAAGUCAAGCAGCAGCUCCUCCAAGAAGAAGUCACGCUCCAGGCGGUCACGCUCUCGCUCCAGAAGCAAGAGGAGGUCAAGGAGUCGUAGGCGCACAAGGUCGCGUUCCCGAUCCUACAAUUCUAGGUCCCGGAGAAGAUCCCGUUCUAGGUCACGGAGGAGGUCACGAUCACGGUCUCGCAGAAGAUCGCGCUCAAGGUCAAGGUCAAGGAGUGGCACACCUGUGGAUGGGGCUCGACUCCAUGUGGCUGAGCUGGAUGUGGACACCCGUAAACGUGAUCUUGAGCGUGUGUUUGAGAAGUACGGCCGGCUGAGGGAAAUCUGGAUGGCCCGCAAUCCUCCGUGCUUUGCCUUUGUGGUGUACGCUCACCAGAAAGAUGCUGACCGUGCUCUUAAAGAGACAGAUGGCAUCACAAUUGGCCACUGCCGCAUUAAGGUGACCCAAGCCAGGCCACGGGUGCGGGGAGGUCGGAUGAGAGGUGGCUAUGACCCCAAUUUACGCUGCUAUCAGUGUGGUGAACUUGGUCACUUCUCCCGUAACUGUACUGACACCAAGUUUGGCUACAAGCGGCCUCCCACACCACCAGGGGUGACCUUUUCGCUUCUUCACAGCAUGGAGACGACGGGGAAGCGAAAGGGCAAGUUUCCUUAGGUGCUGUGGGGCAAGGUUCCUUAGGUGCUGAGAAAUGUGAUAUGGCGGGGUCCACAGCUUUAGGGUGUUGUAAUUUGAGUGGUGUGGUGUUAGUGUGUUACUCUUGUCCGGUGAAGAAGGCAGCAGUGGUGUGAUAUCCAACAUGGGACAUGGUGCUAAACGGACUACGAUAUGGGGUGAAGUCGCAUCCUGCUUUGGCAAACAAAAGUAGCCGUCACAUAUCCCCUUAAUUUUCAGAGUGAGGGAGAGUUACCACCCUCGACUUGUUUGAUGUGGAGGGAGUAGAUAUGGUCCCACCGCCGGGGACGCCACCGCUCACGCUCCAGGUCACGGUCUCGCUACCGCAGCCGCUCCAGGUCUCGGUCGUGAGGCCCUAGAGUUGUGGGACCAACUUGCCAAAAAGGACGAAGGUACACUGGACUGCCAGCGCCGACCUUCAGAGCAGUUGUGUCGGUGGUUCGUUGAAGGUGAAAUCCGGACUAUCAAUAAAUCAUUCAGUGGUAGAAACCCUCAGUUCUGUUUUGUCUGCCUAUGAUGUAAGUUGGCAAGUUCUAGCACAAAGAAAGAUUUAGGACCUUGCCUUCACUUGAUCACUCACUCUAAGACCGGUCAGUUUAAGAUUAUUAUGCCUGUUUCUGUCUUCUGUUUUGUUAAUCAGCCUGGGAACACCCAACCACACACUUUAUUUCAUAUUUUUCUUUACAUUUUUUUCAGUUUUGCCUGCCUUUGAAUUUUCUGUUUGUAAGUUAGGAGUAUGUUUUUCAUGAUCAAUCACUAUGAGGUAUUGUACUUGAUGUAAGCAAUGAGAAUAUAAAGUAAAUAAAUAAAAAUUAACUACUGUCUUA